UACGAAGGGGGCUAGCGUUGCUCGGAAUGACUGGGCGUAAAGGGCGCGUAGGCGGCUUGCACCGUCAGAUGUGAAAUUCCUGGGCUUAACCUGGGGGCUGCAUUUGAUACGUGUGGGCUUGAGUGCGGAAGAGGGUCGUGGAAUUCCCAGUGUAGAGGUGAAAUGCGUAGAUAUCUGGAGGAACACCGGUGGCGAAGGCGGCAUCCUGGACCAACACUGACACUGAUGAGCGAAAGCCAGGGGAGCAAACGGG
rnacentral:rRNA from 1 species